rnacentral:lncRNA from 1 species
GGGGCGCUGGGGGACGAGGGGGGCGCUAUUCCGGGCGGCCACUGGGGGGCGCCGGGGGUCGGGAGGGCGCUAUUCCGGGGGGGGUCACUAGGGGGCAGUGCGUGGCGGGUGAGAGAUCAGCGGGGGGCAGCGCUCCUCCCUCCUGUGUCUGCCCCCCGCAGGGUGGAGCCCCCUGGACGUGCUGCUGCAGGCCCUCCUGGCCACCCCCGUCUUCCUCGCCGCCCUCUUGGCCUUCGUGUUGGACAACACGGUGCCCGGGACCCGAGAGGAGCGGGGGCUGCCGCCACCGCCGGGCCCCCCGGGCCCCGCCGCCCGGACCCCGCCAGCCGCCGCCGCCGCCCUCCUCCUCGGCGGGCCGCCGGACGAGGCCGCCCGGGCCCAACCGGUCCGCGACGCGACGGACGAGGCCGCCCGGGCCGCCCGGCUGUACGGGCUCCCCGGGCCCCUGAGCGCCCUGCGGCCUCUGCUGCCCCGGCCCCUCCGCCGCCUCUGCCCGCCACCCCCGAGCGGCGGGGACAAGAGGCAGGACCGCCCCCAGCCGGGGGAGGCCGUCGAAUUGGUGCCCGCUCCCGGGGGGCCCGGGGCCGUGUGAGCACCCCGUCGGCGCCGGGGGGCUUCGCGGGGGCGCCCCGGCCUUCCUUCCUUCCUUCCUUCCUUCCGGCCCUCGGUUCCCUCUCCCUCUUCCCCGGGACGCCCCAGGGUGGGGCACGGACGAGGGCCGCUGCGGCCUGGGGGGCGUCCCCCUCGGGGACCCUGGUCCCCGCUCAGCCUCCCCCAGGACCCCAGACUCCCCUCUCUCCCGGGGAGCAAGCGAGCCUCCCGGGGGGGCGGUGGGGCGGGCCCCGGGUUCGGAGGUCACGGUUCCGCUUCGGGCCUGUGGCGCUGGGCCGGCCCUCCCGCCGCCGGUCCUCCCCGGAAUGGGAGUGGGGGGCACGGAAUGACCUUAUAAAGCCAAAUGACCUCACGCCCCUCCCGGAGACUUAGCGCCGUGUGUCCGCGUCGUCGCCGGUCUUCAGUCGGUCCUAUUUAUCGAGCGCCGACCGGGACCCGGGGAGGGUCACCGGCGGCCGACGGGCCAUCUGGGGACCGCCUACCGUCCCCACACAGCUUCCCCCACCCCUGGGGCUCCGGGUCGUCGGGGGCCGUUCAAUUUCCUUUCUUCCGCCCGUCCUCGUCUCCUUUCGAUUCUCGAACAGACACACGUUCCCUACCCACAGUGAGCUUACGGUCCGGAGUCGUCGUCGAUCGGUAAUCGAUCUCGCCGCCAGCCCCUCGUCUACAUCCUUCCUCCAGUCUGGAACUCCCUCCCACUCUUUUUUUUUGAAAUGGUAUCUGUUAAGCACCUCUCUGUGCCUCAUUUACCUCAUCCUGUAAAAUGGGGAUGAAGACCAAGCCCCAUGUGGCACAUUCAUCCAUUCGACUGUAUUUAUCGAGUGCUUACUUUGUGCGGAGCGCUGGACUAAGCGCUUGGGAGAGAACAGUAAUGAUAAGAAUUCCGGUAUCCGUUCGGCACCUGCGUGCCAGGCACUAAUCUAAACGCUGGGGUGGAUACGUGCAAAUUGGGUUGGACACGGUCCCUGUCCCCCGUGGGGCUCGCAGUCCCUAUUUUCCCUAUUUUCCAGAUGAGUUAACCGAGGCCCAGUGAAGUGGCUUGCCCAAGGUCAUCCAGCAGACGAGUGGCGGAGUCCGGAUUAGAACCCGUGACCUUCUGACUCCCAGGCCCGGGCUCUACCCACUAGACCGCACUGUCUUCCCAGUACAAUACUAAACAGUGACGCCCUGCCCACAAGGGGCUCACAGUGCCACUUGUCAGCUGUGCGACUCUGGGCGAGUCACUUCACUUCUCUGUGCCUCAGUUACCUCAUCUGUAAAAUGGGGAUGAAGACUGGGAGCCUCACGGGGGACGACCUGAUUCCCCCGUAUCUCCCCCAGCGCUUAGAACAGUGCUCGGCACAUAGGAAGCGCUUAACAAAUACCAACAUUUAAAAAAUAAAUAAAUAAUAAUAAUGUUGAUAUUUGUUUAGCGCUUCCUAUGUGCCGAGCACUGUUCUAAGCGCUGGGGGAGAUACGGGGGAAUGAGGCUGGCUCACGGGAGGCUCACAGUUUUCAUCCCCAUUUUAUAGAUGGGGUAACUGAGGCCCAGAGAAGUGAAGGGACUCGCCCACAGUCCCACAGCUGACAAGUGGCAGAGUCAGGAUUCGAACCCAUGACCUCGGACUCCCAAGCCCAACUCUUUCCACUGAGCCUCGCUGCUUUUCUGUAGGCGGGCUUGGGUCCAAGGUGAUUAGCUUGUCCGGCGCUUAGUACGCUGUUUUGGCCCGUAGUAGGCGCUUGACCAAGGGCGUCGUCAGCGGGCUGCCGUCAGCCCUCGCGCACGAGGGACCGAGGCCCCGCCCAACUGCGCGCGCCCAAUCGCUGCACAAACUACCUAAACCCCGCACGCGUCCAAUCCCCGUCCGCCUCCAAGCCCCGCCCUCCUGCGCGCGUCCAAUCCCCGUCCGCGCCCUAAGCCCCGCCCACGCGGCUUUCUAGCCCCGCCCUCCCGCGCGCGCGCGCCCAAUCCCCGUCUCCGGCCGCAAGCGCUCGCGCUAAGCCCCGCCCACCCGCGCGCCCAAUCACCUCACAUACAGUCUAAGCCCCGCCCACCCGCGCGCGCAGCCAAUCCCCGCCUCCGGCCACGAGCGUUCCCCUAAGCCCCCCCCAUCCGCGCGCGCCCAAUCACCGCACAUACUCCCUAAGCCCCGCCCACCCGGCGCGAGGCCCCGCCCAUCGACACGUGACCAACCCGCCCUCCCUCUCGGUCCAAGCCCCGUCCCCUCCCCUUUCUAGCCCCGCCCCCUCCCCUCCCUCUCCGGGCGGUGUCCGUG